AUUUCAGUUAGGCUGCUGGGGCUGUGGGUGCCAUCUUGUCACCUUGGAGGAAGAGCCCACCUGAGAACGACAUCAACUCAGAGGGAAGUCAGCAGAGCCAAGAGGCCGGGAGAGGUGAUUCCCGGUGACAUCAUCUGGCUCCUGGGUGCAGCCAUGGUAGAGUUGGCCUCGAACGUUGUCCCUGGCAUGGAGGUGACCAGAGGUCACCCUCACAUGUCAGCAGACACCUCCAGCUGUGUCAUUCUUGCUUCUUGUUGGCAAAGUUUGUAGGGGUAGUAUUCUCAGUUGGCAUUCCUAGCUGAGAUGUGUAGCUGGGAGGUCACCACGCCGCAGGGCCUUGGGACCAGUUCUGCCUCCGAGGAGUCCCUUACUGAUGAUCAUAGGCUCCUCAAGGUCAUCAGCCAGGGCAGCUUUGCAGAAGUCAAGGCAGCUGGCCCAGCACAUUCUCACUGGGACCAAGAUGGCUGUGGAGGUCACCCCAACAGGGCAGCAGGGCUCCUGCAGCCCCCAGGAUCUGUACUGCAGGGUCCAUAUGAUGAAGGCCCUUAAUCACCCGAAGAUCAUCAGACCCACGUGGCUGGCACCGAGAACAGGCUGUUCCUAGUCAUGGAUUAAGCCAGCUCGGGAGAGCUAUCCGACUUCACCCUCCAAUUCUCCUUGAAGGGGGAAGAGGCCUGAGGCAAGUUCCAGCAAAUAGGAUAUUCCAUGCAGUGAGGCUUCCAGAAGGAAAUUAUCCACAGGGAUCUGAAGCCAGAGAACUUCCCUGAGGAGGCUCAGCACGACAUGGAAACAACAGACUCUGGCUUUGAUACCAGAUUCACCGUAGGCUGAAAGCUGAUCCCCUUCGGUGGGAGCUCCUCUUACGCAGCCUCGGAACUGUUCCCGGAGGCAAAAGUACGAUGGACUCCGGUGGGCGUGUGGAGCCUGGGAGUCACUGUCUACACCAUGGUGGCCGAGGACUGCCAUCUGUUGGGCAGACUUUUGUGGGGCUGAGGAGGACACUAAUACUCUGUGAACGAUGACAGGAGAUCCCGUUUCUCAUUUCCAUAGAACUAGAACGCCUCAUAAACACAAUUCUGGCCCUUGACUCCAGGGAGAGGCCCUCACUAGACCACAUCAUGGGGCGCCCAUGCGUUAACAUGGGUCAGGAGGAGACAUAAAUAAGGCCAUACUGGGAGCUGCUCCCCGAUCACCCGGCGUCUGGAAAGCUCUCGUGGUGUCCCCGGGAGAUGAGGCCAACCACGUCCCAUCCUUGUAGGAACAAAAAUGUAGGAACAAAAAUUUUUAGUAGAGACGGGGUUUCUCCAUUUUGGUCAGGGUGGUCUCGAACUCCUGACCACAGGUGAUCCACUCGCCUCGGCCUCCCAAAGUGCUGGGAUUACAGGCGUGAACCACUGCGCCCGGCCCACAACAUGGAUUUUUCUUACUAUAAACAUCAAGCUACACUUGCCACAGUCUUUUACCGCUGUGGUCUCAUUUGUCUCCACCAGAGGGAGAAAGGAGACUCAAUAAAAACUGCAUGGUUCUCGGCCGGGCAUGGUGCCUCACGCCUGUAAUCCCAGCACUUUGGGAGGCCGAGGCGGGUGGAUCACUGACGUCAGGAGUUCGAGACCAGACCAGCCUGGCCAACAUGGUGAAACCCUGUCUCUACAACUACUACUACUAAUAAUAAUAAUACAAAAAUUAGCUGGACGUGGUGGUGUGCACCUGUGAUCCCAGCUACUCGGGAGGCUGAGGCAGGAGAAUCACUUGAACCCGGGAGGCAAAGGUUACAGUGAUCCGAAAUCACACCAUUACACUCCAGCCUUGGGCAACACUCCAUCUC
rnacentral:lncRNA from 10 species